ensembl:lncRNA
CCUUUUUGCUGCUGAUUUCCUGGGACUUCCCAUAUCUGCUUUGGCCUGUUUUGAUUUCUUUAGGCAUCUCUGUAUGCAUUCAUGCAAAUUACACAGAAAGCCUAAGGGUUUUAUUAAUCAGGGGCAGCUGACUCUGUAAUAAACAAGCCCAAAUUGAAAUGGCUUAACAGAAAUGAGCAAUUCAAAUGCCUGCUUUGCCGGUUGGUGACUCUUCCGAGCAUCUCUGUAGGUCACAGAGUUCCCAGCUUGCUCUUCCAUCCAGUUAGGGGAGGUUCUCAGGCACAAGCCCUAGGUCAUGUACUCUUGCCCAUUUCCCUGGCCUGGAACUUAGUCACCCAGUCCCAUAUCCCUCCAAGAGAAGCUGGAGAUGCCUGGCCCAGGAGUCAGAGGAAGUGAGGUUUGGAGGCAGGCCUCCACAUCCCUGCAUUAGAUGGCUGUUAACACUUGUUUUGCUGCCAGUGGUGAUGGAAAGGUCUGCCUGUGUUUCCUCCCCUGAUGUCACUUCAGUAAAGAGUAUUCGAAGCAAUGAAGUGUGUGGACAACCAUACCAUCAGAGAAGAGCCAGUUCACCGGUCUUCAGCUGACACUGGUUUUCAUCUGCCUCCUCUGCCUCCACCGUCCCCUCUCUCCUUGUCUGCACCCUGCCAGGAGGCUGAGGGUCGCUCCUUAAGGAGGAAGGUUUUCUCCAAAGGGCUUCAAAUCCAAGAUGAACGGUCCUCAGUCAGCCAUCAGAUCCCUUGCUAUAAGACAAAGGACUGAAAGCUGACAGUGGCCAAGUUCUUCCUACUGUCCAGGUGGAGUGUGGCCCCCCAGUCACAGAGUAGGAAGUGCAGGACAGCCAGGCUCCCCUUGAUUCCAUGUGUCUCAUGAGUACAUUUGUGCCAUUUAGUUUGGAUUCAAACACCAAAUUAAUUUUACCAGACCCCAACUCAAGAACCUUCAGUUUAUUUCCCAUGAUUCUUUUCAAGUCACACUAUAAUCAAUACCUAAUAUCCCUUUGAGACACUUGAAUUAAUAUCUUUACAGGGUAAGUUCCCAGGAGCAGACAUGCAACCUGAAUGGUCCUUAAUGACCCACCAGUGUGUACCUGCACCCAGCCCACGGCAGGACCAUCAGUUCCACUGAACAAAAACAACCUGAAUUGGAAUUUCAUGAUCCAUCCAAUUCAAGGCAGGACCAUCAGUUCUACUGAACAAAUGAUGACCUGAAUUUGAAUUUCAAGAUUAGCAUGGAAGUUGACAUCUUAUGAUUACUGAGUUUUUGUGAAUUGUUCUUCUUAGUGUUCUUUUAUUUUAUUAUUUUUUAAAAGUAUAUAUGUGCACAUGUGUGUCAAGCCCACAGAGGCCAGAAGUAGGUGUCAGAUCCCCUGGAGCUGGAGUUAUAGGCAGUUGUGAGCUGCUCAAAGUAAAUGCUAGAAUUUAACUUAGGUCCUUGAAAGAGCAGCAAGUACUCUUAACUGCUGAGCUAUCUUUCCAUCCCCCUAAGAGUUUCUCUUAAAUCUUUGCCCAUCUUAUGAGUUGUCAAUAUUUUGUAAAUGUUAUUUACAUAUCUUUAUUUAGAUAAAUGUUUCUACAUAUCCUUAUAUAUCAUGGGACACAUAUGCAUCCAUAUAGUAAAGGAUUAUUUUAAUGUUGUGUGUACAGGCAUUUUACCUGUAUGUAUGUAUAUGCACCACAAGUGUGCAGUUCCUGCAGGCACCAGAAGAGGGCAUUAGAUCCCCUGAAACUAGAGGUACAGGUGGUUGUUGAGUAUGAGUCCUCUGCAAGAAAACCUAGUGUUCGUAACUGCUGAGCCAUCUCUCCAACCCCUAGUUUUAUUUCUAGUUUUGCAUUUAUCUUUUAAAUAUAUUUAGGAAAAUUUUUUUCUAGACAGAACUUUAUCAAUAAUACUGAUUUAGUAUCUGGAAAAUUUUUGUUUUAUGGUUUUAUGACUUAAAGUUGUGCUCAAAAAGGUGUUUCAAAUGGAAGAUGAUUUGUUCUCCAGUACCUUAGGUCAGGGUGUUUUACAUUUAGUUAUUUAAUUAGUCUGUAAAUGCUCUUGUGAGUAGUAAAAAGUAAUUAUGGAUGCUAUAUUUCAAACAUGUCUCCAAAUAUUCUGACCCCACUUACUUUGUAAAAACUUCUCCCCCACCUAAUGCAGCUGGCACUUUACACACUCAGCCCCUGUGCACCUGCAUGCAUGCUUAUUUUUAUGUACUUUAUUUUUGUCCUUUCAGCAACUGUUCUUUUUAGUGCCUCUUUCAUAUGGCUUUCAUCUCAGUAGCUUUAGAAUACUUUGAGCAUGUGAAGAAUAAAAUUUCUCAGAAUUUCUCCUCUUUUGCAAAAAUGAGAAUCAAUUUGCCAUGUCAGAAUGUUAAGGAUCCAUUUAGCUUCUUAUCUGAGUUAAAUUAAAUUGACAACUAAUUUGGGAAGAGAUGACAUCUUUACACUAUUAAAUCUUCCCAUCUAAAGACUCCCUGUAUCUCUUUAAUUCAAAUAUUUAAGCAUCUUCUAUGUACUUUAGUAUAAUUAUGUAAUUUUAGAUGUCUGAUGUGUUCUUCAUUUAUUGCUAGAUCAUGGUUAAGCAUGCUCUCUGAAUAAUGUUUGAAAUAUUUCUCUAAAAAGAGUUUUUACUAAUAAAUUAUUACCAAUGUAGGAAGCCUAUUGACUUGAUAAUUUAAUAUAAAUGUAACCUGUCUUACGGAAUUCACUGUUUACAAAUCUGAUGUCUUUGUUUGGGUGCUUCAGUUACUUCAUCAUCUAUAACAAUGGCAAUUUCUCUCUCCCUUUUUUUUAAAGGUUUUAAAGUCUCUCUCUCUCUCUCUCUCUCUCUCUCUCUCUCUCUCUCUCUCUCUGUGUGUGUGUGUGUGUGUGUGUGUGUGUGUAUGAAAGCCACAUGUGAGGUACUUUCAUAAGCUAGAAGAAAUCACUGGAUCCCUUAGAGCUAGGGUCACAGGCGAUUGUGGUCCAUCCCAUGUGGAUACUAGGAACUGAACCUGGGUCCUCUGGAAGAGCAGCCAGUGCUCUUUGUUGCUGAGUCAUCUCUCCAGCUGGGUUUUCUCUCUUUAUUUGCAAAGAUGGCUUGGUUAUUUUUUUCAUUUUAGACUUAUUUAUCUUCUUUUCUGUGUAUGAAUGUUUUGGGUGAGUGUGUAUAUGUGUGUUCCUGGUGCUGUGGAGGGCAUAAGAGGGCAUGGGAUCACCCUGAAACUAGAGUGGCAGAUAGCUGGGAAUUACCACACGGUUUCUGGGAAUUGAACUCAGGUCCUUUGCAAGAACAGCCAGUGCUCUUAACCACUGAGCAAUCUCUUCAACCCCAUGGUUCAGACAUUUUAUGGUAGAUAAUGUUAUCAAGUUUGUAAACUCACUUUAUUCUCCUAGUUUAUCAAGAACAAAAUUUGAAUCAUGCCAAAGAAUUUAAUAUCAACUAUCAUAACUAUGUUUUUUAACCUAUUAGUAUAACUUAGUGGAUUUCACCUUAUAUUUUAUUUAUUUAUUUAUUUAUUUAUUUACUUACUUACUUACUUACUUACUUACUUAUACUGCUGGGGAUUAAACCCAAGGCCUUGCACAAGCUAAAUAAAAGCUCUGCUACUGAGUCACACCCCUUAAUUUUAAAUUAAUGGAUUUCUAACAACAAGCCUGUCUCAGAUUCUCAUGUUAUUUUUUAAUAUUUUAAUGCAUUGCUAUGCUGAAAUUGCCAAUAAUUUAUUUACAGUAUUUAUCUUCCAUACUUUAGUCUGCAUUUCUUGUUAUCUUUUAGAUUUUAGUAGCAGCACUAACAAGUCUC